rnacentral:tRNA from 1 species
GCGCAGGUGACGGAAUGGGUAGACGACCGACGCUUCGCUCGUCGGGCCCCGCGGGGGCGUGAGGGUUCGAGUCCCUCUCUGCGCA